rnacentral:rRNA from 1 species
UAUACAUAUCAAUAAGCGGAGGAAAAGAAACCAACAGGGAUUGCCCUAGUAACGGCGAGUGAAGCGGCAUCAGCUCAAAUUUGAAAUCUGGCUCUUUCAGGGUCCGAGUUGUAAUUUGCAGAGGGCGCUUUGGCGUUGGCAGCGGUCCAAGUUCCUUGGAACAGGACGUCACAGAGGGUGAGAAUCCCGUACGUGGUCGCUGGCCUUCGCCGUGUAAAGCCCCUUCGACGAGUCGAGUUGUUUGGGAAUGCAGCUCUAAAUGGGAGGUAAAUUUCUUCUAAAGCUAAAUACUGGCCAGAGACCGAUAGCGCACAAGUAGAGUGAUCGAAAGAUGAAAAGCACUUUGGAAAGAGAGUCAAAUAGCACGUGAAAUUGUUGAAAGGGAAGCGCUUGCAGCCAGACUUGCCUGUAGUUGCUCAUCCGGGCUUUUGCCCGGUGCACUCUUCUAUAGGCAGGCCAGCAUCAGUUUGGGCGGUUGGAUAAAGGUCUCUGUCAUGUACCUCCUUUCGGGGAGGCCUUAUAGGGGAGACGACAUGCAACCAGCCUGGACUGAGGUCCGCGCAUCUGCUAGGAUGCUGGCGUAAUGGCUGUAAGCGGCCCGUCUUGAAACACGGACCAAGGAGUCUAACAUCUAUGCGAGUGUUUGGGUGUCAAGCCCGAGCGCGCAAUGAAAGUGAACGGAGGUGGGAUCCCUUAAGGGUGCACCAUCGACCGAUCCUGAUGUCUUCGGAUGGAUUUGAGUAAGAGCAUGGCUGUUGGGACCCGAAAGAUGGUGAACUAUGCUUGAAUAGGGUGAAGCCAGAGGAAACUCUGGUGGAGGCUCGCAGCGGUUCUGACGUGCAAAUCGAUCGUCAAAUUUGGGCAUAGGGGCGAAAGACUAAUCGAACUAUCUAGUAGCUGGUUCCUGCAGAU